rnacentral:misc_RNA from 1 species
GAAAUGCGAUAAGUAAUGUGAAUUGCAGAAUUCAGUGAAUCAUCGAAUCUUUGAACGCAUCUUGCGCUCCUUGGUAUUCCGAGGAGCAUGCCUGUUUGAGUGUCAUUCAAGUUCCUCAACCACAUCGAUAAUAAUAAUGGGUGUGGCUUGGACAUGGGGGGUCAUCUUUUGCGGGCUUCUGUGGAAGUCUGCUCCCCUGAAAUGCAUUAGUGGUAUUGUGAGCCAACCACAGGUGUGUGAUAAAUAUCUAUGCCUUUGGUAUGCUGUUGAACCGCUUCCAACAAGUGGAAAACCCACAUUUGAUGAAUUUGACCUCAAAUCAGGUAGGACUACCCGCUGAACUUAA